GAUGAACGCUGGCGGCGUGCCUAAUACAUGCAAGUCGAGCGAACAGACGAGGAGCUUGCUCCUCUGACGUUAGCGGCGGACGGGUGAGUAACACGUGGAUAACCUACCUAUAAGACUGGGAUAACUUCGGGAAACCGGAGCUAAUACCGGAUAAUCUAUUGAACCGCAUGGUUCAAUAGUGAAAGACGGUUUUGCUGUCCCUUAUAGAUGGAUCCGCGCCGCAUUAGCUAGUUGGUAAGGUAACGGCUUACCAAGGCAACGAUGCGUAGCCGACCUGAGAGGUUGAUCGGCCACACUGGAACUGAGACACGGUCCAGACUCCUACGGGAGGCAGCAGUAGGGAAUCUUCCGCAAUGGGCGAAAGCCUGACGGAGCAACGCCGCGUGAGUGAUGAAGGUCUUCGGAUCGUAAAACUCUGUUAUUAGGGAAGAACAAAUGUGUAAGUAACUAUGCACGUCUUGACGGUACCUAAUCAGAAAGCCACGGCUAACUACGUG
rnacentral:rRNA from 1 species